AUUGAACGCUGGCGGCAGGCCUAACACAUGCAAGUCGAACGAGUGGCGUGAGUGUGAGUAAUGUCUGGGAAACUGCCCGAGGGAGGGGGAUAACUACGGGAAACGGUAGCUAAUCCCGCCUACCAUCGGAUGUGCCCAGAUGGGAUUAGCUAGUAGGUGGGGUAACGGCUCACCUAGGCGACGAUCCCUAGCUGGUCUGAGAGGAUGACCAGCCACACUGGAACUGAGACACGGUCCAGACUCCUACGGGAGGCAGCAGUGGGGAAUAUUGCACCAUGGGCGCAAGCCUGAUGCAGCCAUGCCGCGUGUAUGAAGAAGGCCUUCGGGUUGUAAAGUACUUUCAGCGAGGAGGCGUUACUCGCAGAAGAAGCACCGGCUAACUCCGUGCCAGCAGCCGCGGUAAUAC
rnacentral:rRNA from 1 species